CUCAUUUGCAUGCCCUGGUUGGAAACUGCUUGGUAGAGGAAUGGAAUGUUCUGGCCUCACCGAUUUGAUUUUCAAAUCACUUCCCUCUGAGCAAUAUCCUCCCUGCAGGGCAGAGUCCCAACACUCGGUUACACCUACGGACUCGGCCUAGUGAUAUGGGACACUGAGACUGGAGGGAGGGAAGGGGCUCACCCCACCCUUUCCACACCUUACUCCCAGUAUGCAGGUUUCUAGAAACCGGGUUAAGAAGCUGCAGAUUUGGAGAGAUGUCAGGGGUGGCUAUGGGGCGCCUGUAGGGAGAGGGCAGGAUUCCUGCUCUGGCCGGGGUCGGUGGGGAGGUUGUUGUGUGUGCUGGUAGAGUCUUGGUCCCUAUUUCUUACCCCAGUUGGCUCUCUCAGGCUUCUGUCCCCAGGGAGAAGAGCUGCCACAUCAAGCCUCAGGAACUCUCCUUUGACCCUGAACUGCCCACUUCCCUUCUUUCCUGACGGCGCCAGCAGAGGGCACCAGGAGCCACGCAGGAGCUGCGGGACGUCCUGGCCACAGGGAUGCCGCCCUCAGCCAGCCUCACCUGAGGAUGGAACAGGGGGCUGCCUGGUUGCAGCGAUCCUUCAGAGAGCAGUCCCUGCUGCCUUGCACAAAACGCCUCUGAGAUCAGAAGCCCUUUCAUGGAGAGCAGGUGAGAUCCCCAGUCACAGGAUCAAGGUCUGACUUCAUCCUGGGGUUCACAGGGCAGAGACCCAGGUCCCACAAAGAUGAUGUGCUCAGGAAGCCACAGUGGAGCCCCAGAUGCAUCAGGUGAGUCAUGCUGGUGCCACAGGCUUGAAUUGGGCUGGCAACAAAUAGGCUGGGGGGUGUCAGGUGGGCAUUACCUCUGGGCUGUUCUUACUUGGGGCAAUGUCUCCAUUAUCUUGGGGCAGUGCCUCCAACAUCCCUUUCCAAUUCAGCAACUGCACAACACCUGACUUUUGAAACAGACAUUUACAUCCCUGCCUGAAGGAGCCAGGACCAACUUGCUUGGAGGAUCUGUGCAUGGGGGACCCACCUGGGCUCUAGCACAGCACACACUGCUGAGCCAAGCACACAGGAGACCACAGGCCCUGCUGCCCUCAGACCACAGAUGCAGCCCCAGCUCACCAUGGGCAUGUGCCCCCAAUCAGACCUCUUUACGCAGCACUCCAGCCUCAUGCCUCUGCCACACCCAUUGUCCCACUCACCCCACCCUCUCCUGAGCUGCCCGGUGUCCUCAUCCCUCUCCUAAGCAAAGAGCCUUCCUCCUCACAACCAACACCUUCACCUGGAAUGAGUUUUCCUUGUCCAACUCUCUACCUAUCCCCAAGGCCCAAGGAAGGGGAGGGAGAGGAAGUAGGGGGUAGGGGAGUGUUGGAUUGUAUUGAUUAUCUGUGUUCUAGCCCCUCAAGAGGUGCUUUACAUCUGGUCCCUCAAGACUUUACUCUGUGGGACAUUCCGUGGCUAAACUUGUCCCCUAGAUGAAUUUCUCCCCCACAAGCAGAUCCACCAGUCAGGCUUCCCCCAUUAUCUCCAGGCAUCCCUGGAGAAAUUUGUCCCCACCCACCCAACCCAAAGACUUGAGUCUUAUUCACCAGUGAUCAGUGACUCACUCUAAACCAAUGCUAACCAAUAUAUAGGAUGCCAGCAAUAGAUUCAUUUUAAAAUUUCCAGGAAUCAUAUUUUUUUAAAGUAAAAAGAA
rnacentral:lncRNA from 13 species